UACAAAAACCUUUCCAAACACUCUUUCUUACAAGUUUCCUUACUUAGCCAAUUUCACUAGUGAUCCAACGGGACUAUGACGCUAGUGGUCAGCCUGCAUAAGGCUUGAAUGGAUUCAACAUUCAAGACUACUGACUAUAGACGUCCCAAAAUAAGGAUUCGACUAAUAAUUCGUAUUUCCUAAUGACUCUAAUCAACUCCAAUACCCUCUUCUUCAAGACGACUUUGUAAACUUAAUGCAACUUUAGAAAUAAUAUUUCAUAAUACACCAAGAGUCCAAGUUACUUCAGUUCCAACCACGGUGAUCGGAGCCGAUGACUGACCCAUUUUCAAAUUCUGAGUUUGAAUGGUGUGUGUUGGAUUAACAUCUAGAAUGGGGAGUAAAUGCAAAGUACUUGCUUGAUGGGUCUUGUCCAUAUAUCUGCCACGGCGCCUACCAUACUCCCUGUUGCUUAUCACCUAUGCCUCUGUAUAGGCUUUAAUCUCUUUAGCUACCCAACACAUUUUUUUGUAAAGGGAAGGUACGACCAGUGGAUGCAACAUAACGUGCGGCCCGGUCCUUUAGCUUCAAAGAAUACGAGCGGAAGUUUUCUCAUACUACUCCCUCCGAUAUUAAGAACAUUGUCUCAUAUUUUUGUUCAAAAAGUCCGUUAAUUUUUAGACAAAUUUCAUUAUCUUACAACCUUUAAAAGUGAGGAGUUGAUUUAUACUAUUCAUCCAAUAGUGCUAUUACGAUUUUGCCCCCAACUCUAACUCUUUACUACGGUUUUAUCCUCGCUGUUGGAUGGUCCCACGUGUUGGAACUCAUUGAUCUCAGCCAGGUCUGCAAACUAAUGUGCAGAGGCGUAAGACCUACAAGGCUAAACUUGUUGUCUUCCCAAGGCACGCCAGGAAGUUCAAGGCUGGUGAUUCUAUUCCAGAGGAACUAGCAAAUGCUACACAGGUCCAAGGUGAGUUCUUGCCAAUUGAGAAUGUCAAGGUACCAAUGGAUAUUGUCAAUGCCUAUGCUAAGCUUCGUCACGCCAACAAGGUAUUAGACUGAAGUGUCAUCAUCGUCUUCAGGCCGUCAGACUGAAAAUGAUAUCAGAAUAUCAAAAUGUGAACAAUAAAACAAUAUUAAUCAAAGUGGAAAUUUGAGCAGAGACAACGACAUUAUUAACAAA